rnacentral:rRNA from 1 species
UACGGAGGGUGCAAGCGUUAUCCGGAUUCACUGGGUUUAAAGGGUGCGUAGGCGGCUUUGUAAGUCAGUGGUGAAAUCUCGGAGCUUAACUCUGAAACUGCCAUUGAUACUGCUUAGCUUGAGUCAGGUAGAGGUGGAUGGAAUAUUACAUGUAGCGGUGAAAUGCUUAGAUAUGUGAUAGAACACCGAUUGCGAAGGCAGUUCACUAUGCCGGCAUUGACGCUGAGGCACGAAAGCGUGGGGAUCAAACAGG